UACGGGGGGAGCAAGCGUUGUUCGGAUUUACUGGGCGUAAAGGGCGCGUAGGCGGCCAGCACAAGUCAGUUGUGAAAUCUCCGAGCUUAACUCGGAAAGGUCAACUGAUACUGUGCGGCUAGAGUGCGGAAGGGGCAACUGGAAUUCUUGGUGUAGCGGUGAAAUGCGUAGAUAUCAAGAGGAACACCUGCGGCGAAGGCGGGUUGCUGGGCCGACACUGACGCUGAUGCGCGAAAGCCAGGGGAUCAAACGGG
rnacentral:rRNA from 1 species